GAUAAGGUUAAGUGAAUAAGGGCGCACGGUGGAUGCCUUGGCACUAGGAGCCGAUGAAGGACGGGACUAACACCGAUAUGCUUUGGGGAGCUGUACGUAAGCUAUGAUCCAGAGAUUUCCGAAUGGGGGAACCCAGCAUCUUUAAUAGGAUGUUACGAUUGUGUGAAUACAUAGCACAUUCGAGGUAGACGCAGAGAACUGAAACAUCUAAGUACCUGCAGGAAGAGAAAGAAAAUUCGAUUCCCUGAGUAGCGGCGAGCGAAACGGGAAAAGCCCAAACCAGCAAGCUUGCUUGUUGGGGUUGUAGGACUCCAAUAUGGUAGUUCUUUCAGAUAGUCGAAUGACUUGGAAAAGUCAGUCAAAGAGGGUAAAAACCCCGUAGACGAAAUGUGGAAGACACCUAGGAGGAUCCUGAGUACGGCGGAACACGAGAAAUUCCGUCGGAAUCCGGGAGGACCAUCUCCCAAGGCUAAAUACUCCCUAGUGACCGAUAGUGAACCAGUACCGUGAGGGAAAGGUGAAAAGCACCCCGGAAGGGGAGUGAAAUAGAACCUGAAACCGUGUGCCUACAACAAGUCAAAGCCCGUUAAUGGGUGAUGGCGUGCCUUUUGCAGACUGAACCGGCGAGUGACGAUUGCAUGCGAGGUUAAGUUGAAGAGACGGAGCCGCAGCGAACGCGAGUCUGAAUAGGGCGUUUGAGUAUUUAGUCGUAGACCAGAAACAAUGUGAUCUACCAUGUACAGGUUGAAGGGGCGGUAAAACGAACUGGAGGCCAGAACCCACGUACGUUGAAAAGUGCGGGGAUGAGGUGUGGGU
rnacentral:rRNA from 1 species